AGUGAACGCUGGCGGUAGGCCUAACACAUGCAAGUCGAACGGCAGCACAGUAAGAGCUUGCUCUUACGGGUGGCGAGUGGCGGACGGGUGAGGAAUACAUCGGAAUCUACUUUUUCGGGGGGGAUAACGUAGGGAAACUUACGCUAAUACCGCAUACGACCCACGGGGGAAAGCAGGGGAUCUUUGGACCUUGCGCGAUUGAAUGAGCCGAUGUCGGAUUAGCUAGUUGGCGGGGUAAAGGCCCACCAAGGCGACGAUCCGUAGCCGGUCGGAGAGGAUGGUCAGCCACCCUGGAACUGAGACACGGUCCAGACUCCUACGGGAGGCAGCAGUGGGGAAUAUUGGGCAAUGGGCGCAAGCCUGAUCCAGCCAUACCGCGUGGGUGAAGAAGGCCUUCGGGUUGUAAAGCCCUUUUGUUGGGAAAGAAAAGCAGCAGGUUAAUACCCCGCUGUUCUGACGGUACCCAAAGAAUAAGCACCGGCUAACUUCGUG
rnacentral:rRNA from 1 species